UACGUAGGGGGCAAGCGUUGUCCGGAUUUAUUGGGCGUAAAGAGCGUGUAGGCGGCCAGGUAGGUCCGCUGUGAAAACUCGAGGCUUAACCUCGAGAUGUCGGUGGAAACCAUCUGGCUAGAGUCCGGAAGAGGAGAGUGGAAUUCCUGGUGUAGCGGUGAAAUGCGCAGAUAUCAGGAAGAGCACCCGUGGCGAAGGCGGCUCUCUGGGACGGUACUGACGCUGAGACGCGAAAGCGUGGGGAGCGAACAGG
rnacentral:rRNA from 1 species